rnacentral:rRNA from 1 species
GCCAGCAGCCAUAUCACCUUCCAACUCACAACUGGCAACCCACUGAAGCUCAGCAGGUGUGAGCCUGGUCAGUACCUGGAUGGGAGACCUCCUCCAAACUAAGGUUGCUGCUGGAA